rnacentral:piRNA from 1 species
UGAAGUCAGCUAACUUGGGUUUGAGUUU